AGAGAUGAUAUAGAAGGAGAGUUGGAAGCAUGGGAGAGGAUCAACUCAUCAUGGCUGGUUUGAGGUUGGAGUAAGAGUCCAUGAAUCAAGGACUUCUAGAAGCAGUCCACGAGUCAAGGUUCAUACUUCGCAAGUCCUUUCUACUUCAGGAUUAUAAAGAGAGAAUGAGCACAAGCAGGGAGAGCUGCAGAGGGAGAUGGAGAAGCAAGAUCCCCACUGAGCAGGGAGGCCGACGUAGGAGCAAGACCUGAGCGGAAUGCAGAUGCUUAACCGACUGAGCCACCCAGGAGCCCCAGCAGAGUAUAUGUUUUAAAAUCCCUAGUGGAUGCCUGAAACCAUGGAUCAUACUGAACCCUAUACUAUUUUUUCCCUGUAUAUAAAUACCUAUGAUAAAGUUAAAGUAUAAAUUUGGCAUAGUAAGAGAUUAACAGCAAUAAUUAAUAAUGGAAUAUUUGUAACAAUAUACCAUAAUAAA